rnacentral:rRNA from 1 species
UACGUAGGGUCCGAGCGUUGUCCGGAAUUAUUGGGCGUAAAGAGCGUGUAGGCGGCCAGGUAGGUCUGCUGUGAAAACUCGAGGCUUAACCUCGAGAUGUCGGCGGAAACCAUCUGGCUAGAGUCCGGAAGAGGAGAAUGGAAUUCCCGGUGUAGCGGUGAAAUGCGCAGAUAUCGGGAAGAACACCCGUGGCGAAGGCGGUUCUCUGGGACGGUACUGACGCUGAGACGCGAAAGCGUGGGGAGCGAACAGG